GUGCUUGCAUUGGCAGCAUGUACACUAAAAUUGGAAUAAUAUAGAGAAGAUUAGCAUGGCCCCUGCACAAGUGUGACACACAGAUCUGUGAAAUGUCCCAUAUUUUG
rnacentral:snRNA from 1 species